UAGCUUUUAGGUUUCUGUAAAGAAUUAAUAGGGAAGUUAGUGUGAAUCUAACACAAUCCCCGUUGCCGUAUUGAAUGAUGGAGCAAGCAGGAUAAAAUAUAUGUUUUCAGGCAAUAGCUUGAAUAGCAUUGUUAAAUCAGCCACUGACUAUUUGUUGGGAAGGUGCUUGCAAAAGAUGAUCUCUAAGUCGGAAGACCUGCCUAGAAGUU
rnacentral:ncRNA from 1 species